CGGAGGUAGAGCACUGAAUGUCCUAGGGGGUAUUGCACCUACCGAAGACUAUCAAACUCCGAAUGCCGUCAUCUUAUACUUGGGAGUCAGACUGUGGGGGAUAAGAUUCAUAGUCGAAAGGGCAACAGCCCAGAUCGUCAGCUAAGGGCCCUAAAUGUAAGUUAAGUGGUAAAGGAUGUGGGAUUGCACAGACAACCAGGAUGUUGGCUUAGAAGC
rnacentral:rRNA from 1 species